rnacentral:lncRNA from 1 species
ACCGCUGGCGGGACCAUUAUGGUGUGGCGCUUAGGACUACGCUCCGGUGGGAAUUCCGAAAGGACCCUUCGAAUCGCCCCGGUUGGAAAAAGGCUCCGGCACGCGCGCAUUAAAUGCCAAAAUAUCUGAGGGCGAUCGUGCACAGGAUUCAAGGGGACAACUUCGGCUGUGAAAUUUCUUUGUACUUCCUCCAUUCGAAACUCGAACUCGAAAGUAGGGGGACUGGUGUUGGGUACAAAAUACCCCCUCAGCCGAAGUUCGCGUCAGAAGUGACCCUCCGGGGAUUCUGCCGACUUUCGACCUUCGGCGAUAUCUUUCUGAACCUUUCUGGCGGCCGAACCUUCGCAGCAUUCCCGAGUUCUGCCGAUGGAUAAACCCCCACCAGCGUCGACCAGAUUCUUCACGACAGACGGACUCCUACGGGAGCCGGACUUCACCGACUUCGACUGCGGAAAGACUUCGUCCGGACUCCUACGGGAGCCAGACUCCAUCCCCGGCCCCUACUGCAGGUAGACUUCGUCCGGACUCCCACGGGAGCCGGACUUCGUCCCGACUUCUACUGCAAACAGACUUCGUCCGGACUCCUACGGGAGCCGGACUUCGCCCCCGAUUUCAAUUGCAGGUGAACUUCGUCCGGACUCCUACGGAAACCGGACUUCGUCCCUGACUUCAAUUGCAGGUAGACUGCAUCCGGACUCCUACGGGAGCCGGGCUUCGUCUCCGACUUCUACUGCAGGCAGACUUCGUCCGGACUCCUAUGGGAGCCGAACUUCGCCCCCGAUUUCAAUUGCAGGUGAACUUCGUCCGGACUCCUACGGGAGCCGGACUUCGUCCCUGACUUCAAUUGCAGGUAGACUGCAUCCGGACUCCUACGGGAGCCGAGCUUCGUCCCCGACUUCUACUACAGGCAGACUUCGUCCGGACUCCUACGGGAGCCGAACUUCGCCCC